GACGAACGCUGGCGGCGUGCUUAACACAUGCAAGUCGAACGAGGUCCAUCCUUCGGGAGAAGACCUAGUGGCGAACGGGUGAGUAACACGUGAGCAACCUGUCCCAAAGACCGGGAUAAGCGAUGGAAACGCCGUCUAAUACCGGAUGCCCUCUACUGAUCACAUGCUCGGUUGAGGAAAUGUUUUUCGCUUUGGGAGGGGCUCGCGGCCUAUCAGCUUGUUGGUGGGGUAACGGCCUACCAAGGCGUCGACGGGUAGCUGGUCUGAGAGGAUGAUCAGCCACACUGGGACUGAGACACGGCCCAGACUCCUACGGGAGGCAGCAGUGGGGAAUCUUGCGCAAUGGGCGAAAGCCUGACGCAGCAACGCCGCGUGAGGGAUGAAGGCUUUCGGGUUGUAAACCUCUUUCAGCAGGAAAGAAAAUGACGGUACCUGCAGAAGAAGCUCCGGCCAACUACGUGCCAGCAGCCGCCGUAAAAC
rnacentral:rRNA from 1 species